AUGUAGCGAGCUGAGUGGGGAGGAGAGAGGGACAGAGAGCCUGCUUGCUUUAAAGGAGCCAACCGGACAGGAGCUGCUUACACUCGUGUAAGCGGCUCCUCUCCUCUCCUCUCCCGCUUUGCUCCUUUAAAGCAAGCAGGCUCUCUGUCUCUCUCUCCUCCUCACUCAGCAGCUCUUCUC
rnacentral:miRNA from 1 species